CUCAUGCAGAUAUCGCAAUACCCAUGACGAGUGAUCCCAAGCUGAUCUGGCGACAGAAGGCUGAGUUGAACUUUCCUUUUCUUUCCUCUUUGGGCAAUUGUGGCUCUGAUACGCAAGAAUCAAAGACAAGACUGUUCCAACUCGAUCUGGGGUCUACGCAAGUCGCAAACUAUAGAUCUUUCGCUUAUAAAUACACUCUCACCUUCUCAAAAGUCCAAAACGAAGUCCACACCCUCAGAUCGACCUUGUGUUUGUUUAUUAAGCUGUCUUCUACUCUUCUCUUGUGAGUUGUGAGUGCUUUCUCGCAGAUCUCUCUAAGAGGUUAUAAUUAUUUGCUUUGAUUCUCAGCAAUGGCUCAAACCAGAAGUUUCGUGGCCACCGUUCUCCUUUGCAUCGUCGCGAUGUUCGCUUCAGUCUCAGCCCUGGAAAUGGCACCGUCUCCGGCGCCUUCCUUGGAGAAGGGAGCUGGGUUUGCAUUGCCGAUUUCGAGAGCUAUUCUAUGCUCGUCCCUCCUCUUAUCUCUCUUUGCUCUCUUAAAGCACUAAGAUUGGAUCGGAUUGGCCUUCAUCUGAUGGAUUUCUUUUGAUUCUUUUUUCUCCCUUUUCUCUGUUUUGUUGAUUGAUCAGAUCAGAUUAGAUCAGAUCAGAUCAUCAGAGUAUACAUAUAGUGAGAUUCAUAGCUUCGAUUACCAUUAUUUGAUUGUAUCUGUCUGUAAACGGAUGCAUGAUUCUUAAAUAAUAAAGAUGCAUCGGUUAUCCUUUCUUACUUGUUCUAAUUUGUGGCUAUGGAAGCAAUUUUGAUUGUAGAAUCUCUCUAAAAUUCCCCAAUAAAUGCCAAACGUGGCCCUCUCAGAGCUUUUUUUUCGUUCUUUUUAAGAAUUUUGUUUGCACACACCACCAUACAACUUUUCAUGGGAGUAAUGGAUAAAAAUCCUUUUAACAAUUCUCAUCUGGUGCAAUACUGUACAAUACCCCUUGUAGAAGUUGACACAUGGGCAAAACAGAAUGAGGGGUUCAGAUUAAUCUUCCAUUAAAAUAACUCCAAACCAAUGAUUCACCAACUUAAAUCGAAUCGGACUAAGUAUUCAAACCAAACCGAAUCAGUUUUUGAAUUAAAACCUGAGAAAUGAAAACCCCCUUCCCUCUCUUUUCCUCUCUGCCCUAACUCUCUCUUCCCCAAAUCGCUCCUUACGAACAAGCGAAACUUGCUGCUCACGAAGGUGCACUCACUCACUCGAAGCUCCCUGGUCACUCGAUCAAGGUUCAUAAGGAUUGGGUUUGAUUUCUCUAGCGCCGAAGCUCUUGGAUAGCGUUGUUACCUGGUUAGGGUUUGAUUCAAAUCGUUGGCAGGGGAUGACAUCAUGGGUUAACGAUGACUAUUCUCUCUCUCUCAAGCACCAUUAAAUUUGAGGACCUGGUUGAUAUUUGACCUUACAUUUACAGAAUAGGGCAGAAUUCAUAAAAGCUCUGGAUUGUAUUGAAGAACUAUCAAUUGAAUACAUUCUCUUUCUGUC